UGCUGCCCUAUAUACAGUAAUUAUGACUUCAAGGGCUAUGGAACUGGGUAGCUUUUCUUACUAUACCAGAGACCCUACAGAAAGAAAAUGACAAACUUGGAGUUUAAACUUAGAGCUCAAAUCACGGUCAGGAACCAGAGAACUUCUGUCAUCUUCUGUGUUAUAGCCAUAGGGUUAACUUUGCCUAACUCCGUGAAUAUUGCAGAAUUACAAUGUCAGCUGAAUUCGAAGACCUGACAGGGAUCUAAGCUAACAUGGAAAGGAGGAUGGCCUUGAGGGUUGGAAUGCAGCAUGUCAGGAGAUUCAGAUGAAGUUCACCAGCUGCCAUGUUGUGAGGACACUCAGGCAGCUUAUGGGUGACCUGUGUGGUGAGGUCAUUGUCAACAUCCACAUACAUGAGUCUGCAAGCAGAUUGCCAAGCCCCAGCUGAGCCUUCAGGAUAAAUUUGUAAAACGGUACCAAAAAACUAUGCAAAAGCCUAACUUGGAUGAACAUUGCCAAGGUACCAUGGCCGUGGGUCAGCUGGAUAGAAGCUUCCUACUCUACGUGGCCAUGAGCAACUGAGUAAGAUGUCCCCACAGUUGUCAACAGUGUUACCAGCCAUUUUCAUCUUUGCCCAUCUGAUCAGUGGGAAAUGGCAUCUCAGUGAGGCCUGAAGUUAUCCUUCCUGUAUUCCGUGUGACGUUGAACUCUUUGAUAUGUUUAAUAGCUGCUGCUUCUCUUAUGCCUACUCAGUUCUCCC